rnacentral:rRNA from 1 species
AUACGGAGGAUCCGAGCGUUAUCCGGAUUUAUUGGGUUUAAAGGGUGCGCAGGCGGCCAUUUAAGUCAGCGGUUAAAUCGUGGGGCUCAACCCCAUUCUGCCGUUGAUACUGGGUGGCUUGAUUGCGGUCGAGGUUGGCGGACUUCGUUGUGUAGCGGUGAAAUGCAUAGAUAUGACGAAGAACACCGAUUGCGUAGGCAGCUGACCAGACCGCAAAUGACGCUCAUGCACGAAAGUGCGGGGAUCGAACAGGAUUAGAUACCCUGGUAGUCCGCACAGUAAACGAUGAAUACUUGUUUUCGGCGAUAUAAUGUCGGAGGCAAAGCGAAAGCGAUAAGUAUUCCACCUGGGGAGUACGCCGGCAACGGUGAAACUCAAAGGAAUUGACGGGG